rnacentral:tRNA from 1 species
GCGCACGUGGCGAAAUUGGUAGACGCGCAGCCUUGAGGGGGCUGUGUUCGCAAGAACGUGGAAGUUCGAAUCUUCUCGUGCGCAC